ACUCCUACGGGAGGCAGCAGUAAGGAAUAUUGGUCAAUGGAGGGAACUCUGAACCAGCCAUGCCGCGUGCAGGAUGACUGCCCUAUGGGUUGUAAACUGCUUUUGUCGGGGAAUAAACCUACGUUUGUAACCGUAGCUGAAUGUACCCGAAGAAUAAGGAUCGGCUAACUCCGUGCCAGCAGCCGCGGUAAUACGGAGGAUCCAAGCGUUAUCCGGAUUUAUUGGGUUUAAAGGGUGCGUAGGCGGUUCUUUAAGUCAGAGGUGAAAGACGGCAGCUUAACUGUCGCAGUGCCUUUGAUACUGAAGAGCUUGAAUAGGGUUGAGGAAUGCGGAAUGAGACAAGUAGCGGUGAAAUGCAUAGAUAUGUCUCAGAACCCCGAUUGCGAAGGCAGCAUUCCCAAGCCUUUAUUGACGCUGAUGCACGAAAGCGUGGGGAUCGAACAGGAUUAGAUACCCUGGUAGUCCACGCCCUAAACGAUGAUAACUCGAUGUUGGCGAUAGACAGUCAGCGUCCCAGCGAAAGCGUUAAGUUAUCCACCUGGGGAGUACGCCCGCAAGGGUGAAACUCAAAGGAAUUGACGGGGGCCCGCACAAGCGGAGGAGCAUGUGGUUUAAUUCGAUGAUACGCGAGGAACCUUACCCGGGCUUGAAAGUUAGUGAAUGAUCCAGAGACGGAUCAGUCCUUCGGGACACGAAACUAGGUGCUGCAUGGCUGUCGUCAGCUCGUGCCGUGAGGUGUCGGGUUAAGUCCCGCAACGAGCGCAACCCCUAUGUUUAGUUGCCAGCAUGUAAUGGUGGGGACUCUAAACAGACUGCCUGCGCAAGCAGAGAGGAAGGUGGGGACGACGUCAAGUCAUCAUGGCCCUUACGUCCGGGGCUACACACGUGCUACAAUGGUCGGUACAGCGGGCAGCUACACAGUAAUGUGAUGCCAAUCUCUGAAAGCCGAUCACAGUUCGGAUUGAGGUCUGCAACUCGACCUCAUGAAGUUGGAUUCGCUAGUAAUCGCGUAUCAGCAAUGACGCGGUGAAUACGUUCCCGGGCCUUGUACACACCGCCCGU
rnacentral:rRNA from 1 species